AACGUUCCCAUACUCUGAUUUUCUUAUUCUGAAAAUGUCUGGGGAAGAAUUGUGCCAACAGUUAAAGAUAAUACUGGGAAGCUUCCUUGUCCCGGCCCAGGCACCCGUGGAGCAUCCCCUCCAUCAACUGGAUUGCCAUCUCCUUCUGGGUCACUGCAACAUACUCCAAGGUGGAGUAAAGCAGACUGUAGGAACAAGAAAGGAGGGGCAGAGGAAAGUGGCAUUGCAAACAAAAAGACUGAGCCACCACAGCCACGGCAUAAUCAGGCUGGAGGAGCUGGUUCCAUGCUGAGCAACUACAAAUCAUGACAGUACGGGCAUCUUGGAGGAAGAGUACAUUUAGGGAACAAGAUCUUGUUCAGUUAAAUGUGCUGAUGAGAAAUCCAGGUGAUUUUUAGCAGGUCCUAAACCACUCUGUUUUUUUUUUUCUUUUUUUUUUUUUUUAAGCUUAUGACAAAAUACAUAAGUAAACUUCUUUUUAUGAAUUUUUUAAUAAAACAUUUUAAGUCCUUAGUAUUG
rnacentral:lncRNA from 10 species